ACAUGGGUAACAUUGAUGUUUUG
rnacentral:siRNA from 1 species